UUUUAAAUUGAGAGUUUGAUCCUGGCUCAGGACGAACGCUGGCGGCGUGCCUAACACAUGCAAGUCGAGCGAUGAAACUUC
rnacentral:rRNA from 1 species